CAUCUUCAGGGCAGGGUGUAAUUCCCGACCGGCGGUGAUGGCGCAAGCUGAGUCCGCGAGCCGUAAGGCAUGAUCCGGUGCGAAUCCGGAACCGACAGUAGAGUCUGGAUGGAAGAAGAU
rnacentral:ncRNA from 1 species